rnacentral:misc_RNA from 1 species
CCACUCUGUAGACAACCACUCUGUGGUCAGUGGUCAGUCAUGUUUUGUUGCUUCGCGUAACUUAGCCCAAGUUAUAGUCUUAGGAUCGUCAAGGAGCAAGUUUCAUACCCGGUGAAAAAUGCAACGCGGAGUUAAUUAUAAAACAGCGGAGCGCGUUCAACUUGUCACGUGAUCAUGUUUCACGUUCGGCAACAAACAUGUCAGCUCCCAACAGUCAUGCCAAGGAUCCUUUACGCGUCUAUGGGAUUUCUCCAUUGGUUGGAUUUGCACUCCAAGACCCAGAAGAAAAACUACCGAUCGAAUUUCAUCCGUGGAUAGAAAUUCUACAUGAUUCUGAAAAUCUUCUGAAAAGUAAACAGUUUCGAUCGAGAGUGGAUCAGCUAUCAGUGUUGGAUUAUGAACGGCUGAUAAGCUACAAGCACCAAAGGUUGGCUAGACUUGUCCUCUGCCUCCUUGUGCAGGGAUACGUUUGGCAGGAUGGCGACGCAGGUGUGCUACAGAGCAUUCCAAAAUGCCUUGCUGUUCCAUUCCAUAAGCUUUCAAUGAAACUGGGUUGGCCAGCGAUGAUCACGCAUGCAGAUAUGAUGUCCAACUACAAAAAGAUUGACCCCAAUUGUCCACUGGAGUUAAGUAACUUGAAGCUCAUCUUCAGUCUGUGUGGUGGAAAGAGUUUUGAAUGGUUCUUCCUCAUCCCUCUACAGAUGGAAAUUAACUUUGCUCAGCACAUUCUUCCUCAUAUUCUACAGAGCCGAGAAGCUAUUGUAAACAAAGAUACUAAAACCCUGGGCGAUGCUUUAUGCAAGUACUCUCACGGAGUAGAAAUGAUGACUGCAACCUUAACUAGAAUGCAUGAACACUGUGAUCCCCGUGAAUUUUACAACUUUAGGGCAUUUUUAGCAGGGUGGCAGAGUAAUGUAUUCAAAGGUGGUAUAAUUUAUGAAGGCAUCUCCAGCACACCUGUAAAGCACCCUGGUGCUAGCGCGGCACAAAGUUCGACACUGCAUUGCUGCGAUGAAGUGCUGGGUGUGAAACAUGGAGAGUCUGCCUGGACCUUCCUCAGUGAAAUGAGGCAGUACAUGCCACCUGGGCACCGAGAAUUCAUUGCUAGUCUUGUUAAGGGACCAUCUAUACGAGACUUUGUGAUAUCACAAAAUGAUGUGGGUUUGGCAGAAAGUUACAACAAAGCGUUGCUAUCACUUGUUCACUUUAGAGAUUAUCACAUCCAAGUUGUAGUCAGAUACAUUGUGAUUCCGUCCCAUCAAACAGACUGCAAAAAGAGUCAUGAGAGCUUGGCAAAUGUAGGAACUGGUGGAUCAGGAGUACUUCCCUUCCUCAAAAGCGUGCGUGACACAACCAAGGCACACUUGCUCCCUUUACCAGCAUAACAGUGCUAAACAUUGUGUCCACAGACAAGCCAGAGCCAAGACAACCUAUCAAGGUUCUUGGAGGGAAAUUCGACACAAGACUAAAGUGGAAUGAGGAGGAGGCACAGCUUAUAUUGCCAUUAGAUAAGCUGUGUGCAUGAUAUAAUUAAUACACUACCCCCAACCCAAGGAUGUAAAAUUACGAGAUGUGAUGAAAUAAUUGGAAAAUGCAUGACAUUUCAUGGUUAUGCCAUGGUUGGAUAUAGAUGCUUUGAUUCUCGUUGGUAAAGGUUGGUUGGUAAUAGGGCGUUUGAUUCUACCAAUGUUAAGUAGUUAUAAACAUAGGUUGCCAAGAAUACCGAUCGAGUACAACAGUACGAGUGUGCUUCGUAUGUAUACCUAUGUAAUUAAAUGUGCAUGAUAAUUAAAUAUUAUAAGGGUACCGGUACAGUGUAGCUUACAACCCACACUGCCUAUAACAACAUCGAUGCAGUGCUUUGCCAGACCACUUUGGCGACUGCCCCCCUCCCCAGCUAUAGCUACAGCCCACUACACUAUGAAAAUACAGCCGGUACACUGAAAAUAUCUUUAGUCUAGACUAUACACAUUCAGAAUGAACAUACGACGUAUCUAUAUAAUAUAUAUAUAUAUGUAUUAU